rnacentral:tRNA from 3 species
GACGUUAGCUCAGUUGGUAGAGCAGCGGACUUUUAAUCCGUUGGUCACAAGUUCGAAUCUUGUACG